CAGUCGCCGCGGGAAUACGUAGGUGGCAAGCGUUGUCCGGAAUUAUUGGGCGUAAAGGGCUCGCAGGCGGUUUCUUAAGUCUGAUGUGAAAGCCCCCGGCUCAACCGGGGGGGGUCAUUGGAAACUGGGAAACUUGAGCGCAGAAGAGGAGAGUGGAAUUCCACGUGUAGCGGUGAAAUGCGUAGAGAUGUGGAGGAACACCAGUGGCGAAGGCGACUCUCUGGUCUGUAACUGACGCUGAGGAGCGAAAGCGUGGGGAGCGAACAGGAUUAGAUACCCCGGUAGUCCCUGUCUCUUAUAC
rnacentral:rRNA from 1 species